GGGAGUCGCGCUGCGGAGUCGAAUCCGAGCGGGAAAUCGGAGGAGGGCAAGGUUUGGUGGUGGUUGCCGGGGGCUGCGAGAGGAAGCGGACUAGGUGUCGCCCUGGGCAACCGGGGGAUGGAGGAGCUCAUUGCCCUCGUGAACGCACUGCAGGACGCCCUGGGCGCCCUCGGCCAGAGCUACCCCCUCGAUCUGCCGCAGAUCGCCGUGGUGGGCGCCCAGAGCGCGGGCAAGAGCUCCGUCCUCGAGAACUUGGUCGGCCGAGAUUUCCUGCCUCGUGGUUCUGGAAUUGUCACUAGACGACCUCUCAUUCUUCAGCUUAUCUUCUCAGAAACAGAAUAUGCAGAAUUUUUGCAUUGCAAGUCCAAGAGGUUUACCGAUUAUGAUGAAGUUCGACAGGAGAUUGAAGCAGAGACAGAGAGGCUCACGGGAACAAAUAAAGGCAUCUCGUCCGUUCCCAUUAACCUUCGGGUGUACUCACCACAUGUGCUGAAUCUGACUCUGAUUGACCUUCCGGGUAUCACUAAGGUGCCAGUGGGUGACCAACCCCAUGACAUUGAGUACCAGAUCAAAGAGACUAUUUUGCAAUUCAUCAGUAAAGAGAGUAGCUUGAUUCUUGUUGUGACACCAGCCAAUACGGAUCUGGCUAACUCAGAUGCUCUCAAACUGGCCAAAGAAGUUGACCCACAAGGCCUACGGACAAUUGGGGUAGUUACCAAGCUGGAUUUGAUGGAUAAAGGCACUGAUGCCAGAGAGAUCUUGGCAAACCAACUAUUACCUCUGCGGCGAGGCUACAUUGGAGUUGUGAACCGGAGCCAGAAGGAUAUUGAUGGUAAGAAAGACAUCCAAGCCACGCUGGCAGCUGAGCGCAAGUUCUUCCUUUCCCAUCCUGCUUACAGACACGUGGCGGACCGCAUGGGAACGCCCCACUUGCAGAAGGUCCUCAACCAGCAAUUGACAAACCAUAUCCGAGAGACUCUGCCAUCACUACGUAGCAAACUCCAGAGCCAGCUGCUGUCCCUAGAGAAAGAGGUGGAGGAAUACAAGAACUUCUGCCCUGAUGAGCCUAUGGGGAAAACCAAAGCUUUGCUGCAGAUGGUCCGACAGUUUGCAAAAGACUUUAGUAAGCAGAUUGAAGGUUCUGGAGACCAGGUAGACACACUAGAAUUAUCCGGUGGAGCCCGAAUCAACCGCAUUUUCCAGGAGAGGUUCCCCUUGGAGUUAGUCAAGAUGGAAUUUGAGAAGAAUUUGAGACGAGAAAUUGGCUACGCGAUCAAAAACAGCCACGGUGUAAGGAUGGGGCUCUUCACGCCUGACAUGGCCUUUGAAACCAUAGUGAAAAAACAGAUUGUAAAGCUCAAAGAGCCCAGUUUGAAGUGUGUUGCUCUAGUGGCCUCAGAGCUGUCCAGGGUCAUCAGAAAGUGUGCAGAGAAGCUGGGUUCCUACCCCAGGCUGCGAGAAGAGAUAGAGAGGAUUGUUACUACACACAUCCGAGAAUGUGAAGGAAGGACUAAGGACCAGGUUCUCCUGCUGAUUGACUCAGAGCUGUCCUACAUCAACACUAACCAUGAAGACUUCAUUGGAUUUGCCAAAUGAGUGUCUAUUCUCAAGUAAAGCCGAGGAGGGCUGAGAGAUGUACCCUGAUGAGACCUCUCUCGAGGCUCGAAUUCAAGGAAAAAGCCAUGUCUCAGCUGCAUCAAGUGAUGAAUAUCAAGUGAAAUAGCCUAUCUUCCCUAAAUGCUUACUUGGAGUCAGUAAUGGGCUGGAUGAGGAAAAACAAACUGAGGUUGAAUACAAGGAAGAUGACUGGAAGAUAGGAAGUGGCUUAGAUCUGUCUGUUCUGGAAGGGGUUACACUCCCCCAGAAAGAGUAGAGUUUUCCAGCCAAUUAAAAAUGAAGACCUUUCUAAGCCAAUGCACACACUGGAGCAGCUCUUCACUCCAACCCUGAUAUCUCAACUGCCUUCAAUCAAAAAAAAUCUCAGUCAUCGACUCUGAUUCCAAAAAAGGUGUUUUCUACCUAAGCCUGAACAGGGACUUCCAGUCCAAGACAUGGAUGAUUAUGAACUCAACAGAGCCUCCAGAGACUGCUCCA